rnacentral:rRNA from 1 species
UACGUAGGGGGCAAGCGUUGUCCGGAAUCAUUGGGCGUAAAGAGCGUGUAGGCGGCCAGAAAAGUCCGCUGUGAAAACUCGAGGCUCAACUUCGAGCUGUCGGUGGAAACUUUCUGGCUAGAGUCCGGAAGAGGAGAAUGGAAUUCCUGGUGUAGCGGUGAAAUGCGCAGAUAUCAGGAAGAACACCGAUGGCGAAGGCAGCUCUCUGGGACGGUACUGACGCUGAGACGUGAAAGCGUGGGGAGCAAACGGGG